rfam:Thioploca ingrica DNA, complete genome.
GGAGGGGUUCCCGAGCGGUCAAAGGGGGCAGACUGUAAAUCUGUUGGCUCAGCCUUCGGAGGUUCGAAUCCUCCCCCCUCCA